UACGUAGGGUGCAAGCGUUAAUCGGAAUUACUGGGCUUAAAGCGUGCGCAGGCGGUUAUGUAAGUCAGAUGUGAAAUCCCCGGGCUCAACCUGGGAAUGGCAUUUGAGACUGCAUGGCUAGAGUGUGUCAGAGGGGGGUAGAAUUCCACGUGUAGCAGUGAAAUGCGUAGAUAUGUGGAGGAAUACCGAUGGCGAAGGCAGCCCCCUGGGAUAACACUGACGCUCAAGCACGAAAGCGUGGGGAGCAAACAGG
rnacentral:rRNA from 1 species